AUAGUCAAUGCAAAUGGGUCAAACUGGUCUAACAACCAAAGCUCACGUGCCCUCGGCACAAUCUGAAACAAGAUGCAAACAUCCGGAUCCACCGUCAACCCCGACGGCACCCAACAGCAUAGAACAGUCUAAACACUACUGUAAAACAAGCUCAGCCCCUCAGCACGAGCAUAACCUCAACCUACACUAAUCUGAGUACCACUACGCACUAACAGCGGUGAUACAAAAGAAUAACAGC
rnacentral:lncRNA from 1 species